UUCAUUUGAAAUAUUCAAGUCCAAACUUCAAGAUGGCAAAGUUUUUUGUUCUCGUUAGCGGUUUACUCUACGUACUUUCUAUGUUGAGUAUGGCAGUUGCUGAAGUACCCAUGCAGGAAUAUUUUGUAGUAACAGCUGGGAAAAAAUAAAAUGCCUUGCAUCUGUAAAUCUCUUAUGAUGUUUAUAAAAUAAAUAGCAAAAUAAAAAAUUAAA